GACUGGCUUAUUGGCUUGACAGACUCCAGCCUUGGCCUGGACCCCUUGGCUUCCAGACCUUGGCCCUUCCCGCUGCAAGCAUUCUUGGGCACGGUUCCUACUUCUUGCAAGCCCUGUCUGGCUGCUGCCCAUCCCCCAGUUUCCACAGAUCCGUGAUAUCAUACAGUAUUUGACGGGCUGCUCUGAAUGAAAACAUCAGUCAUGAAUUAUAAGGACUAUGUGAGGCUAAAUAUUCAUUUUAAAGAGGUUGUUGCUGUUCAGUGGCUCAGUCAUGUCCGACUCUCUGCAACCUCAUGGACUGCAGCACACCAGGCCUCCGUGUCCAUCACCAACUCCUGGAGUCUACUCAAACUCGUGUCCAUUGAGUUGUUGAUGCCAUCCAGCCAUCUCAUCCUCUGUCAUCCCCUUCUCCUCCUGCCUUCAAUCUUUCCCAGCAUCAGGGCCUUUUCUUUUUUUUUUCAUCAUCAGGGUCUUUUCUAAUGAGUCGGCUCUUUGUUAUCAGGUGGCCAAAGUACCACAGUUAUUUUAGGGGGUCCUGGCUUUAAAGUGGGUAACCUGUCUAAAACCCUUACCUCAGUCUCUUCUCACAGCUUAGCUCCUAAGACCUACACCUCCACACUCACGAUUGUGCUCUACCUUACCACCAGCGAGAGUACUUUAAGAGCUCAGUUUAACAUUCUUCAAGUGUGCUCCAAAUCGGCCCGACUGCCUCACUUUGCUCCCCAUCAAACCACCUACCUAAGAGUUUCUCUGAAUUUUGAUACGUACAGACGGUUUUAUGGUACAUGUGGAUAUUCAAUCGCAGGUAAAUUGUUUUUUCAAAGAUUCAUCAAAACUUUUAGAAUGACUAAUGUGGCAGCCUGGAUGGGAGGGAAAUUCGGGGGACAAGGGAUACAUUCAUAUGUCUGGCUGAGUCCCUUCUCUGUUCACCUGAAACCAUCAUGACAUUGUUCAUUGGCUAUCCUCCAGCAC
ensembl:lncRNA